GACAGAGGGUGCAAACGUUGUUCGGAAUUACUGGGCGUAAAGCGCGUGUAGGCUGCUUCGAAAGUCGGAUGUGAAAGCCCUGGGCUCAACCUAGGAAGUGCAUUCGAAACUUCGAAGCUGGAGUCCUGGAGAGGAAGGCGGAAUUCUCGGUGUAGAGGUGAAAUUCGUAGAUAUCGGGUAGAACACCAGUGGCGAAGGCGGCUAUCUGGACGACAACUGACGCUGAGACGCGAAAGCGUGGGGAGCAAACAGG
rnacentral:rRNA from 1 species